rnacentral:tRNA from 1 species
GGCUAUAGCUCAGUGGUAGAGCACUUGCCUAGCAUGUGUGAGGCACUGGGUUCAAUCCUCAGCGCCA